GUGAGGAAUAUUGGUCAAUGGGCGAGAGCCUGAACCAGCCAAGUCGCGUGAAGGAUGAAGGUUUUAUGAAUUGUAAACUUCUUUUGCAGGGGAAUAAAGUACGGUACGUGUACCGUUUUGUAUGUACUCUGCGAAUAAGGAUCGGCUAACUCCGUGCCAGCAGCCGCGGUAAUACGGAGGAUCCAAGCGUUAUCCGGAUUUAUUGGGUUUAAAGGGUGCGCAGGCGGAUUGAUAAGUCAGCGGUGAAAGUUUGCAGCUUAACUGUAAAAUUGCCGUUGAAACUGGCGAUCUUGAGUGCAAAUGAGGUAAGCGGAAUGUGUUGUGUAGCGGUGAAAUGCUUAGAUAUAACACAGAACACCGAUUGCGAAGGCAGCUUACUGGGAUGCAACUGACGCUCAUGCACGAAAGCGUGGGGAUCAAACAGGAUUAGAAACCCCAGUAGUCC
rnacentral:rRNA from 1 species